CAGCAGUGGGGAAUAUUGCACAAUGGGGGAAACCCUGAUGCAGCCAUGCCGCGUGUGUGAAGAAGGCCUUCGGGUUGUAAAGCACUUUCAGUAGGGAGGAAGGUAGUGUAGUUAACACCUGCAUUAUUUGACGUUACCUACAGAAGAAGCACCGGCUAACUCCGUGCCAGCAGCCGCGGUAAUACGGAGGGUGCGAGCGUUAAUCGGAAUUACUGGGCGUAAAGCGCAUGCAGGCGGCCUGUUAAGUCAGAUGUGAAAGCCCGGGGCUUAACCUCGGAAUUGCAUUUGAAACUGGCAGGCUAGAGUCUUGUAGAGGGGGUAGAAUUUCAGGUGUAGCGGUGAAAAUGCGUAGAGAUCUGAAGGAAUACCAGUGGCGAAGGCGGCCCCCUGGACAAAGACUGACGCUCAGAUGCGAAAGCGUGGGGAGCAAACAGGAUUAGAUACCCUGGUAG
rnacentral:rRNA from 1 species